CCUACGGGUGGCUGCAGUGAGGUAUAUUGGUCAAUGGACGCAAGUCUGAACCAGCCAUGCCGCGUGCAGGAAGACGGCUCUAUGAGUUGUAAACUGCUUUUGUACGGGGGUAAACGCAGAUACGCGUGCCUGUCUGCAAGUACUUUAUGAAUAAGGAUCGGCUAACUCCGUGCCAGCAGCCGCGGUAAUACGGAGGAUUCAAGCGUUAUCCGGAUUUAUUGGGUUUAAAGGGUGCGUAGGCCGCAUGUCAAGUCUGCUGUGAAAUGUUCGGGCUCAACCGGGGCCUUGCAGUGCGUACUGGCGUGCUUGAGUCCACGGAAGGCAGGCGGAAUUCGUGGUGUAGCGGUGAAAUGCUUAGAUAUGACGAAGAACCCCGAUUGCGAAGGCAGCUUGCUGAAGCGGAACUGACGCUGAUGCUCGAAAGCGCGGGUAUCGAACAGGAUUAGAUACCCGAGUAGUC
rnacentral:rRNA from 1 species